CAAAUCUCACUCCAAACCAGCAUCAAGUGUAUGUAAUAACUUAUUUGUAGUUUUUUAUACUAAGCUACCAGCUUGGCCCCUCUUCCUAGAGUUCAUUACAGCACAAAAGAAGGACUGCACCAAGCUGGUGAACAAGGAGAGCAUUCAAAAAAGACAUGACCUGCUGACCCAGCCACUGCAAGGUAGACCGCAGGACUGCUGGGCUGUGCUGCACAGAGCCAAGAAGGAGUUCUUGGUCGUCCUCAGCAAGGUGUACUCACAGCAACUGGUCAAACUGACCAAGUCUGAGUGCUCUUUGGUCCUUUAUUACCUGGAAGCUAUGGUGAUCCUGAAGCAUCUCCAGCGACCAUGUGUGGUUGAGCACAUGACGUGGUUUGAGCUUUAUUACACUCACGUGAGGCCAGAAUUCCUCUCCACUAAAACAGACAAGAGGACAAGACAGGAUGUGGAG
ensembl:lncRNA